GCUAUUGCCAAACACUUUCUUGGCCGCUAAUAGCACUUUUUACCCUUCUUUGUGUGGCUUGUUGCAGCAGGUAUUUAAAAACAGCAACGGGCGAAGCAGACGCGUCUUCCUCUAGCUCCGAGAUGCCUUUCUCUCCUCUAAUGUCAUUUUCAGAAUCGGUUAGCAAACGCUUUCCUUCACAGAAUGGACGUUUAAAGACGCGUAAAUUGGAGUUGAAGCGUAAACUCUUUUCAGUGGAGAAAGGGAGACGUUGUCCGUAUUGGAUUAGAAAUGCAGAGUCCCUUCACUAUGAGAGGGGGAGAUGGGAACUGUUUACUAGCUGAGGGUGCGCUAACACGGCAACCUCCACCACCCCACCACCACCAGUUGAGUCCCGUCGUGCAUGGGGGUAGGCUCCUCGCCCCUGCCUCCUAUCUCCAGCAGGAUAUGACAUUCCGAGUACAACUUCUUCGGACCGCCAGACAGGGCCUACACCAAAGAGAAACAUUACUUUUCUGUUCUAUAUUCAUUAAAUAAAUGUCAUCUUAAAUUUCACUCAAGUCUGCGAGUCUUCCUGAUAGAAAAGCAAUCAUUUACUAAUUACUUUACUAAGUUUCACUAAGUUACCCAGAAACUUUAGUUAGUUUUCACAGAAAAGGUGUUUUUUUUCCCCCUGCUUAAUAAAUUCAAAAUAAUGUCUAUAUUUCCUUCCUCCAUCUCAUAUUGCUCUCUAUGUGAUGUAUCUGUAUGUGAACAUGAUUAUUUCACUUUAAAAGUAAUUUUGAAUGAAAGAUAAUUACAAAACAAAAAUCUAUUUUAAAAUGAAUAUAAGGCUCUCAUCCUCUAAUGACUUGAGAGUAUUCAAAGAAAUUAUGACAUUGCUGUUAAGGAAACAAACAAUGCUCACUAGUUUUUAACGGUGCAUUUAGGGAAUUUUUAGGGAACAAUCGUUUCAGUGCACUGGAACAAUUUUGCAAAUAAGACAGCACUAGAAAUGGAUGACACCCUGACCAGUGCCAUGACUAAUAAACUAGGGAACUGAUUGAGAUGUACCCAUUGACGCAUACAAGUCAUACACUCAGCACCGUCAUGCUUCUCCCAUAGUGGCUCGUUAGGGAGCACUAAAAGCUCUCAGAGAAACAAACAAAUUUACACAUGCCAUAAUGUUUGAUAGAUUCAACAUCUAUUAUAUUUAUAAUAUGUGUGUGUGUAUGUGUACGUGUGUGUGUGUGUGUGUGUAUGUGUGUGUGUGUGCGUGUGUGUGUGUGUGAGCAUGUAUUUAUCACUUUGUGGGGACCAAAAAUGCAGAA